rnacentral:tRNA from 1 species
UCCUCCGUGGCGCAAUUGGCUAGCGCGUCUGACUGUUAAUCAGGAGGUUGAAAGUUCGAGCCUUUCUGGGGGAG